UACAGAGGUCUCAACCGUUGUUCGGAUUCAUUGGGCGUAAAGGGCUCGUAGGCGGUCUGUCGCGUCGGGAGUGAAAACUCAGGGCUUAACCCUGAGCCUGCUUCCGAUACGGGCAGACUAGAGGUAUGCAGGGGAGACUGGAAUUCCUGGUGUAGCGGUGAAAUGCGCAGAUAUCAGGAGGAACACCGAUGGCGAAGGCAGGUCUCUGGGCAUUAACUGACGCUGAGGAGCGGAAAGCAUGGGGAGCGAACAGG
rnacentral:rRNA from 1 species